rnacentral:rRNA from 1 species
AGCAGUCGCCGCGGGAAUACGUAGGGUGCAAGCGUUAAUCGGAAUUACUGGGCGUAAAGCGUGCGCAGGCGGUUAGAUAAGCCAGAUGUGAAAUCCCCGAGCUCAACUUGGGAACUGCGUUUGGAACUGUUUAACUAGAGUGCGUCAGAGGGGGGUGGAAUUCCGCGUGUAGCAGUGAAAUGCGUAGAGAUGCGGAGGAACACCGAUGGCGAAGGCAGCCCCCUGGGAUGACACUGACGCUCAUGCACGAAAGCGUGGGGAGCAAACAGGAUUAGAUACCCCUGUAGUCCCUGUCUCUUAUAC